GACGAACGCUGGCGGCGUGCUUAACACAUGCAAGUCGAACGGAAAGGCCCUGCUUUUGUGGGGUGCUCGAGUGGCGAACGGGUGAGUAACACGUGAGUAACCUGCCCUUGACUUUGGGAUAACUUCAGGAAACUGGGGCUAAUACCGGAUAGGAGCUCCUGCUGCAUGGUGGGGGUUGGAAAGUUUCGGCGGUUGGGGAUGGACUCGCGGCUUAUCAGCUUGUUGGUGGGGUAGUGGCUUACCAAGGCUUUGACGGGUAGCCGGCCUGAGAGGGUGACCGGCCACAUUGGGACUGAGAUACGGCCCAGAUUUCUACGGGAGGCAGCAGUGGGGAAUAUUGCACAAUGGGCGGAAGCCUGAUGCAGCAACGCCGCGUGCGGGAUGACGGCCUUCGGGUUGUAAACCGCUUUCGCCUGUGACGAAGCGUGAGUGACGGUAAUGGGUAAAGAAGCACCGGCUAACUACGUG
rnacentral:rRNA from 1 species